rnacentral:rRNA from 1 species
AACGAACGCUGGCGGCAGGCUUAACACAUGCAAGUCGAGCGCCCCGCAAGGGGAGCGGCAGACGGGUGAGUAACGCGUAGGAAUCUACCCAUCUCUACGGAAUAACGCAUGGAAACGUGUGCUAAUACCGUAUACGUCCUUCGGGAGAAAGAUUUAUCGGAGAUGGAUGAGCCCGCGUUGGAUUAGCUAGUUGGUGGGGUAAAGGCCUACCAAGGCGACGAUCCAUAGCUGGUCUGAGAGGAUGAUCAGCCACACUGGGACUGAGACACGGCCCAGACUCCUAAGGGAGGCAGCAGUGGGGAAUAUUGGACAAGGGGCGCAAGCCUGAUCCAGCCAUGCCGCGUGAGUGAUGAAGGCCCUAGGGUUGUAAAGCUCUUUCACCGGUGAAGAUAAUGACGGUAACCGGAGAAGAAGCCCCGGCUAACUUCGUGCCAGCAGCCGCGGUAAAAC